GGAAUUCAGAACUUCUCACAGUCGGGGCGGCGCCGGUAAGUUCCCAAGGAUCAGCAAGACCCGGUGUGGAUUCCAGAGAGACUAACGAGGAGGUGCAACAAACAAGAUGAAGCCUCCGAUAUUGAUCCUGCUGCUGAUCUUGACAACACCGUGGCUGAUCCAGGCCAGAGAACAAAUCCUGUGGGCCAUAGCGAAAGCGUGGCCAAUUCCUUUGCCUGUUCAUAGCACAUCUAAAGUUUUGCCUGUUUUCUUUUCUACUACUUGUGAAUUUGGCUUGCCUUGUGUCAAUUUACAUCCUGACACUGCCCAGUAUUCAGCCACUAAUAUUUCUCUCAAUGGAGCAUUAUGCUUCUCCCUUAUUAAUAAUUCUAACCCAUGCAUUUGGUUGAAGAAUGGUUCUAUUGGCAAUUGGCUUGAUCCUCUUACUAAUAACCAGAUCUCGAGUGCUAUGCUCACUGAAGCCCUGUCUCAGUUUAGUACAGGCGCUAGUUCUGGCUCUGGCACUGGUACAAAUGGAACCAAAGAUGUAAA